UGUGUCUGUGGAGAUCUGAUCUGUGUGACCAUGGAGGUCUGAUCCGUGUGUCCGUGGGGCUCUGAUCCGUGUGUCCGUGGAGGUCCGAUCCAUGUGUCCGUGGAGGUCCGAUCCGUCUGUCCGUGGGGCUCUGAUCUGUGUGUCCGUGGGGCUCUGAUCUGUGUGUCCGUGGAUCCGUGUGUCCAUGGAGGUCUGAUCCGUGUGUCUGUGGACAUCCGAUCCGUGUGUCUGUGGAUCCGUGUGUCCGUGGAGGUCUGAUCCGUGUGUCCGUGGGUCUCUGAUCCGUGUGUCCGUGGAUCCGUGUGUCCGUGGAGAUCCGAUCCGUGUGUCCGUGGAGGUCUGAUCCGUGUGUCCGUGGGGCUCUGAUCCGUGUGUCCGUGGAUCCGUGUGUCCGUGUCCGUGGAUCCGUGUGUCCGUGGAGAUCCGAUCCGUAUGUCCGUGGAGGUCUGAUCCGUGUGUCCGUGGAGGUCCAAUCCAUGUGUCUGUGGAGAUCUGAUCCGUGUGACCAUGGAGGUCUGAUCCGUGUGUCCGUGGGGCUCUGAUCCGUGUGUCCGUGUCCGUGGAUCCGUGUGUCCGUGGAGGUCUGAUCCGUGUGUCCGUGGAGGUCCGAUCCGUGUGUCCGUGAAUCCGUGUGUCCAUGGAGAUCUGAUCUGCGUGUCCGUGGAUCCGUGUGUCCGUGGAGGUCCGAUCCGUGUGUCCGUGGAUCCGUGUGUCCGUGGAGGUCCGAUCCAUGUGUCCAUGGAUCCGUGUGUCCGUGGGGCUCUGAUCCGUGUGUCUGUGGAGGUCUGAUUCGUGUGUCCGUGGAGGUCUGAUCCGUGUGUCCGUGGAGAUCUGUGUGUCCGUGGAUCCGUGUGUCUGUGGACAUCCGAUCCGUGUGUCUGUGGAUCCGUGUGUCCGUGGGGCUCUGAUCCGUGUGUCUGUGGAUCUGUGUGUCCGUGGAGAUCUGAUCUGUGUGUCUGUGGACAUCUGAUCCGUGUGUCCGUGUCUGUGGAUCCGUGUGUCCGUGGAUCCGUGUGUCCAUGGAGGUCUGAUCUGUGUCUGUGGAGGUCUGAUCCGUGUGUCCGUGGGGCUCUGAUCCGUGUGUCCGUGGAUCCGUGUGUCCAUGGAUCCAUGUGUCCGUGGGGCUCUGAUCCGUGUGUCUGUGGAGGUCUGAUCCGUGUGUCCGUGGAGGUCUGAUCUGUGUCCGUGGGGCUCUGAUCCGUGUGUCCGUGGAUCCGUGUGUCUGUGGAGGUCUGAUCUGUGUCCGUGGAGGUCUGAUCCGUGUGUCCGUGGAUCCGUGUGUCCGUGGGGCUCUGAUCCGUGUGUCCGUGGAGAUCUGAUCUGUGUGUCCGUGGAUCCGUGUGUCCGUGGAGGUCUGAUCCGUGUGUCCGUGGAUCCGUGUGUCUGUGGAGAUCUGAUCCGUGUGUCUGUGGAGGUCUGAUUCGUGUGUCUGUGGAGGUCUGAUCUGUGUCUGUGGAGGUCUGAUCCGUGUGUCUGUGUCCGUGGAUCCGUGUGUCCGUGGAGGUCCAAUCCAUGUGUCCGUGGAGAUCCGAUCUGUGUGUCCGUGGAGGU
rnacentral:lncRNA from 7 species